rnacentral:rRNA from 1 species
AUUGAACGCUGGCGGCAGGCCUAACACAUGCAAGUCGAGCGGUAGAGAGGUGCUUGCAUCUCUUGAGAGCGGCGGACGGGUGAGUAAUGCCUAGGAAUCUGCCUAGUGGUGGGGGAUAACGUUCGGAAACGGACGCUAAUACCGCAUACGUCCUACGGGAGAAAGCGGGGGAUCUUCGGACCUCGCGCCAUUAGAUGAGCCUAGGUCGGAUUAGCUAGUUGGUGAGGUAAUGGCUCACCAAGGCGACGAUCCGUAACUGGUCUGAGAGGAUGAUCAGUCACACUGGAACUGAGACACGGUCCAGACUCCUACGGGAGGCAGCAGUGGGGAAUAUUGGACAAUGGGCGAAAGCCUGAUCCAGCCAUGCCGCGUGUGUGAAGAAGGUCUUCGGAUUGUAAAGCACUUUAAGUUGGGAGGAAGGGCAGUAAGUUAAUACCUUGCUGCUUUGACGUUACCGACAGAAUAAGCACCGACUAACUUCGUGCCAGCAGCCGCGGUAAUAC